rnacentral:lncRNA from 1 species
GGGGCGAAGUCUCAAGCAAAACGCACUCUGCACGUGCUCUGGAGACGCGAUCCUCUUUGUUCUUCUGUCGUACGUCCUUGGGGCACCGGAACAGUGUUAACUCUCGGGGGNNNNNNNNNNNNNNNNNNNNNNNNNNNNNNNNNNNNNNNNNNNNNNNNNNNNNNNNNGGAGGGAGAGAGAGAGAGAGAGAGAGACCGCCGAAGUUUGGGAGGGGAAGGGGAGAGGAACGUGUUGGAUCAUGUGGUUGCAUCACGUGAAAGGGGAGUCGGGCCCAGCGGCGGCGGCGGCAGCAACAGCACGCCCGAGCGAGACAGAGACCCAGACAGAUUCUGGACGCUGGGCUCGUCGGGAGGAGCGACGGCGGACCGACCGGGCUGGCGGGGCGGAAGCCGCACAGGACGAGGCCACCGCUCCGGAGCUCCCUGGAGAGAAUUGGAAGCAUCCAAGGAUUCCCAGCUUUGAAUGACAGGUGCCAUAAAAGACUACCAUAGCUAAACUGUGAAGCCUGACUCAACCUAAAUUGCAAAACUGAAGGAAAGAAAGUCCGUGCAUAACAGAUGUAUGUGUGUGUCUCUCUCACUGUGUGUGUAUAUAUAAUACACACAGAGAAAGAUUAUCAUAGCCAGACAGACCAGCACUUCUCUGAUUUAGGGAUUGUGUGCAAUUGAUGGAAAUUUACUCAAGCAUCAGAUGGAACAACCUGUCAGCAUAAGGACCAAAAGCUCUUGGAAUAUCAUCUGGUACUAAUGGUCAGUUUUCCAUACAGUUUGCAGUGUGAGAAAAGAAUUUUAAGAAUCAGCAGAACACCCUCUGCACAGCAAAUGACACAAAUACCUCUAUGAAAUGAGGGCAUCUCUGAGUGGAGAGGAGAUCAAUAUUGUCAUCAUCAUAAGAGGAAUAAUGUUCAAGCCUUCCAUACUUUUCAGUUCAAUUUGAACGUGCUUGCUAAGUAAGUAGUGACAAGUAAUUGGGUAGUGAUGACUGGAAGAAAGCAAAUUCUGGAGCAGUGGGACUGAUCCAGGGUUUGAAUUUGAGAAGCUCUUUUAUCCCAGACUGAGCGUUGCAACUUUGUAAUCUGUUACUUUUUCCUCUCUGCCCUGCUUUUGUUUUUGUCCUAUUUCUUGACAAUGUGGUACAAGUACUGAUAAAUAUUUGCUCAUAAAAAUUCCUUGAGACAUUUGGAACAUUUUUUUUAAAAAGAUGUUUUAACAUCUGCAAAUGUGUUGAUUAGAAUUAUGUCUCUGUGCUGUAGAAAAGCACCAAAAAGGACAGGGCAUAUUGGACAAGCAAAGGGACAACCCAGGAAACAAUAAAAGGAAGUGGAAGUUGCA